AUGGCGGCGGGGGUUGAGAAGGUCGCGGAGUCUCUGGACCGCUCCGCCUCCGUGCCGGACGCCGAGUUCCUGCGGGAGCUGCUCGGCGAGUGGAAGAAGCACGGCCGUGCCGUCCUCAUGAUCCUCGACAUCGUCAUGUACAUGGAGCGUUCGUUCGUCCUGAAGAGGGGCAAGGCGUCCGUGCGCGAGCUGGGGCUCCGGGCGUGGCGCGACGGCGUGGUCCGCCGCUCCGCCAGUGAGGUGCGGCCGAGGCUACGAGCCGCCCUGCUCAGGAUGGCACGGCGGGAGCGGGCCGGCGAGGCCGUCGACACAGCGCUCUACGAGCUGAUGGCCAGUGCGACCAAGAUGCUGGUGGAGCUGGGCGGCAAUGUGUACCAAGAAAUCCUCGAGACGCCGUUCAUCGACGAGAGCGGCCGGUUCUACGGCCGGGAGUUCGUCCGGCUGCUCCCCACGCCGUGCGACUGCGGCGAGUAUCUAAGCAAAGUCGAGUCCAUGGUCGACGCGGAGAAGGCGCGAGUCUCCCGCUGCCUGGGCGCUCCGACGACAGAGGAGAAGGUGACGGCGGUGGUGCUGCGGGAGAUGGUGGAGAAGGCCGUGGCGCGGCUGGUCGGCAUGGAGAGCUCCGGGCUCGCGUCCAUGCUGGUGUACGGCAGGUACUGGGACCUGACCAGGAUGCACCGGCUGCUCGGGCGCGUCCAGGGCGGCUUACCGGCGAUGAGGGACGUGAUGGAGGCUCACUUCCGGUUGGUCAGGAAGGCGGAGGGCGACGACGAGCGGUUGCUGUCCGGCGAGAAGGACAGGUAUGCUGAGAUGAUCGACGGCGUGUUCCACGGCGAGGAGUCCUUCCGUGCCGCUCUGGACUCCUGCUUCACAUGA
rnacentral:rRNA from 1 species